AUUGAACGCUGGCGGCAUGCCUUACACAUGCAAGUCGAACGGUAACGCGGGGCAACCUGGCGACGAGUGGCGAACGGGUGAGUAAAGCAUCGGAGCGUGCCCAGUAGUGGGGGAUAGCCCGGCGAAAGCCGGAUUAAUCCCGCAAACGACCUAAGGGGGAAAUGGGGGGAUCGCAAGACCGCUCGCUAUUGGACCGGCCGAUGUCAGAUGAGCUAGUGGGUGGGGUAAAAGCUCACCAAGGCGACGAUCCGUAGCUGGUCUGAGAGGACGACCAGCCACACUGGGACUGAGACACGGCCCAGACUCCUACGGGAGGGAGCAGUGGGGAAUUUUGGACAAUGGACGAAAGUCUGAUCCAGCCAUGCCGCGUGCGGGAAGAAGGCCUUCGGGUUGUAAACCGCUUUUGUCAGGGAAGAAAUCCUUUGAGCUAAUACCUCGGGGGGAUGACGGUACCUGAAGAAUAAGCACCGGCUAACUACGUGCCAGCCGCCGCUGUAA
rnacentral:rRNA from 1 species